GGGGCCGAUCGGUUUCGACUGACAGACGAGACAACUGAACAGCGUGCCAGUGAAUGGCUCUCGACCACUGCAAGCGUCGGAGCCAAGCAACAACUGCGAACGACAACGACUCGCUCGUGUCCGACGCCGAUCUGCAGACGAUCGAGGACUUCGCCAACGGCGCUGUCCUCGCGUCCGCCUGAUCGGUUAGGCACCGGCCCGGAACCAGGGAGACCGCCGACGCUCCCCCGGGCCUUCAACCACCAAGUACGGCUGGCGCAGAACGGGCUUCCCGCCCCAACGCUGCGUGAGACACCAAGCGGGUAACCGGGUCGAGCAUGAGGGUGUCCCUGCCCGAAACGCUCCGGACGACGAAUAGGGACUACGCACGUAGAACGCGGAUGACGAAGCUGCCAGGACCGGGGUUCAAUUCCCCGCGGCUCCACCA
rnacentral:tmRNA from 1 species